ACGCGCUGCUGAAACCGCUGUCCCCCGAGGCACCGCAGAGCAACAGGAAAGGAGAACAUCGUGUGACGGUUCCUCCCGCAAGGAGGGGGACAGGCUGAGCCUGGAGGGGGGCGAAAUGAGAAAAAUAUCUCUGGGAACGACCUUGAAUAAAGGAGAGCGUCGGACUGGCACAUCGUAAGUCAAUCAGCUAAUACCCAGUAAAUAGCCCAAACAAUCGAAAACCUGGGAAACAUCCUCGGUCACUUACAGAAAAACAAAGUGUUGUGACUGACAGCUUUAACUUUACUCUCCGCGGAAGCCGAGAGCAAGCCCCGUGACACAAAGUUAUGAGGCAGGCUUUCUACUCUCUUGCGGCUCAGUGUUUUUGAUGAUAUUAGAGCAUCUUUCACUCCAGUUUGCACUUGUGCCAUGCAAACUCAGAAAACGCAGAAAGCCAAAUAAGUAAUUGCUUAACUGCACGGCUUGGCCAGACUCUAUCUUAAUCACACUGGCGAUGAGGACCGCAGCGGCAGGCUCUGCGCACACAGUCAGGAUUCUCCAUCUUCUCUGCGGGCGCUUAAAAAUGCGGCUGAGUUCGUAACUUCACAACAGUUGGGCAGAUUUCGGUCAGCUCCUCUCCACGAGAAGACCUGGCCGCCUUUGCCCACCUCCAGGCUUGCAACCUCUGCGGUUUUAAACGGCCAAGGCACAGAGAGGGGCUGGCUAAGCCGAGCUGCACCCUGCGUAUCCCUGCGUUAGCUGAUCGCACCCAGGUCUGCGCGCUCUUGAAUGGUGCCCGCACAGGCGGGAUGCGGACAAGCCCGGACGCGUCAGUGACCGGCAUGUAAGGGUGCUUCGUGCCCUCCCUACCCGGGCCUGCUAUUCCCUCCGCUGCGUCUCCUGAAAUGCCAGGGAUGGCAUGAAAAGCACGGCUGGCUCCUGAGCAACUGGCCACUCGCAGCCCCUUUCCCUUCACUGAAAUGGAAGUGUGUCCUGGCUGCUUGGAGCCGGCUCGGCCCGAGGAAGAAAGCGCCGGGCGGGAGGCACAAGCCCUGCGCGGCCCUGCGCGGCCCUGCGCGGACGCGCCGUCAGCCUGGCGACGCCUCGGGACCGCGGGGGCGGCGCGUUUGGGAGCGCACGGAAGGCUCGUGCAGCGACUGCUCUCAGGGGUGUCUCGCACUACCAUGGCCAAGCGAAGUCAACCCCAGCCGCUUUCUGCCAAGGACAAGCAGCGGGGCCCCUUUUGGCUUGAAAUCUUUCAAACCGGCUCUACUUUUCGGAUUUUUUCCCCAGCCACUGAAAGUCAUUUCACCCUGAAUUAAAUUGAGAGGCAAUUUAGGCAACCAUGAAGGAAGGGGAGGGAGCAGGAGGUGAAAGAUAUAGACGAAGGGAAAACUCACUCUUUUGAUGUGAUAGCAUCUUUAAUCCUACUAAGCAUUUAAACAGCAAAAUGCUGUUUAAACUUUUAAACAACUGAAUGAGGUGCUAAUGUGUUUAGAGAACCUAGGUGAAGCAGCUAGGGAAAUCCUUAAAGAAAAGUCAUAGUCUCAUAAAAUCCGAGCUGACUUGAGAGCAAAUGAAACCCUAACACUGCACAACUUUAAAAAAUUCAAUUAAAAUAUUAGUUAAUGUUAUUCAGUUAUGACGUAGCUGCAGCAAACAGGAGCAACUGCAGCAAAACUUCAAUACGUACAAAAAGAAAAAGCAUUAACAAUCAUGGCAGAAGGGGCUUUCUUUUGCCAUUCCGUUUUACACACUUCAGAAAUGGGAAGGGCUACGCUCGAUGCUCUCAGAUCAUGACUGUUUUUAUCUAUCUGCCAGAGAGAAACUGGAAUGUUACAAUUUGAUUGCAGUGUUUUGUUCAUGCGGUUGCAUGUUACACUUCGGUUUGAAAAGCAUUUGUUUUUUCUCCAUUCAGAAGGAUAAAAUACAGCGCUUGUGUUAAAAAUGAACCUACACUCCGCUAGUGGUUCCAGCGGGAACGAGCUUUACCAGGGAGCUACGGGAAUGAGUGUUUUCGGUUCACUGAAACCGAUCCAGUAUGUGCAGCUUUCUGCGGGAGAGCUCCCAAACAGGUGGAAGAGAAGAUUGCCGGGAGACAACCUACCAACCACGGCCUUCCUGAAUCCUCGCAUUAGGUACCUCGGAAAUAGAGCCAACAGAAAUUAGCACCGCUCCACUCUGUUCAAAAACCUUUUGAAGAACAGCUAUAACUUUAAAAAGCGGAAAAGAGAAUAGGAAUUUUGUGCCUGAGGGGACUCUGCCAUUGAACCCUCUCUCCUCCAUAUCAGCACACACAUUUUGCUAUGAGAGACCCACUUCAGAAUACCUGCUUCACACAUUUCACUUUUCAUAAACCACAAAACGUAUCACAAUACUCUCUAGCAACUUUAAGCUUUGUAGUGCAACAGGCCAAAAACUAUACAAAGGGAACAGAAAAGUUUAGGGGCAUUGCUGGUGUUGCUCUCAGCCAGAUGAAUCUGGAGCAAAAUGACUCCAAAUCUGGCACUCUGUUUAGUCCUGACUGUGAGCAAGAUGAGCCAGCCAGGAACCGAAGUGGCUUACAAAACCAGCAGCAGAAUCAUUCCCUGUGUCCUGUCUCUAGCUAUGGCCAGAUCCUGAAGCCCUAGAGGACAUCCAAUUUAUGUAUCAAGAGGGGAGAAAAUCCCUCUUCAAGCCAACAUUUUAGUCUCCUUGGAAUUAAUACAGUACAAAUUCCGUGCAAUAGCACAAUAAACAAGCCUAAAUUUCCAACUUCUGGAUCACCACUGAGUGCUAUCUCACUAUCUUUUCCCUAAACUUAUUAAGUUCUAUCUUAAAACAUUUAAGGUUUAUUUGUUGAUUUUCAGGGGGCUAUAUAAAAACUUUUCUCCUGAUUAGAAAUCUUUCAAAAUGUAUUAUAAUUCCCUGGCUGGUCGUGUACCACUCUCCUCUACUUUGCACGGUUCUUUCCACAUCCUUGGCCUUUACUUUGAAUCACAGCUGGCACUAAGCAGAGGCGAAAGUGAGCUCAGUCCUGCUAAACCACUCAGCUGUUUCUGUACCCUCUUCUCUAGAGCUCACCUUCUCCUUGGGCUCAGGGCUGAUCCGCUCCGGCCCACGGGGCCACGUACCCGAGCUCAGGCCCGGCGAGAUUUGUUAGCUCUGGUGCCAGCCAUGCCAAAGCAGCUCAGCUGUGCUGCUCCCUGGCUUCAGCAGGUCUGGGGAGCAGCACAGCCAGCUCCACACGCUGCUGACUCCGUCAGGCCUCUGGUGGCUCUGCACCGAGCCCGGUCAGGUUCCUGCUCCCUCUUCAUUGCUCUGUUUAUUUUGUUAGAACCCACUAUAUAAUGUGGGCCCCAUAACCCAGAGGAAUAACCUGAAUGAUGGAGGAAUAACCACUGUCUCAGAAUAUUAGCAAGUCAGUCCAUUAUGUUCCCAUGUUAUUAACCACGUUUUCCAUUACCUCAGAUAUUCCAGUUGCCCCUAUCAUCCCAGACAGUGAUGCGUUGACUGCAAUUUCCACUGUCCUAUUCUCAUCUCAUUCAUUUACCUUAUCACUACUCUCAUGUUCAUCAUUUUUAUUAAAACCAGACACAAAGUAGACACCUAAGUAUUUAUAUGCCUUUUUCUGCCAAGAGCUUACAGUAGUACCUGAAAUUAUAGCAUAACUCAGCAUAACCCACCGCACAGUCUCAGAAGUAACACAACAGGAGGUGAUCUUUCUUUUCCCCCAAAUGAAUGCAUGUUACGUAUAUCCAAAUGGCAUCACUGAAGUGAAGCUGUUACUUGUGAUGCCCUGCUACCCUUAUGAUGGGUCAGUCUUUAUGCGAGCCUAGAGAUUUAAGGUGAGUUUUAAAUAAGGUUCACUUUAGUAUUUUUAUUGUAUGGGGGAGAGGGAUUUUCAAGCAUAUUUGUUAUUCUGGAAAAACUUCAGUUUGGGCUAAAUCUUCUGCCUUGUCCCUUCUGUACCCAGUGCAGCUAUGAUAAGGGAAGAUCUGCAAUAUUGUCUGUUAACCAUCUGCGUAUUUUCUUGAUACUUAAGCUGCUGAGCAUGGACUUGAUUCCUGAGAAACUCUGGGAAAUCUAUUUAGUCAACUCUAAUCAUGCUGCGGAGAAGAAAGCGAUGUUCCCACGACACACAGAGACAAGUCAUGCCUAACCACAGAGCCUUACUGACUGCCUUUAAAGAGUGACUUGACAAGGACCACGAGGACACUGUGUUUCCUGCUCUAUUAACCUCCUUUACCUAUGGCAUUGGCUGGCAGAGUACUAGACCACCAAGCCUUCUCAGGAACCUGGGGCCCCGUUCAUGGAGGAAGGUUCUUGUCUUUGCGGGAAGUAAAUGUGCUCUUGAGGAAUUAAUUGGCUGAAAAGCUUUUCUUUCUUUUUAUGAAUGUGUCGCCUAGUAGAGGCAACUGCUGGUGCUGAGGCAGGUGGGAGUCUUUGGCCAGGGACAGGGUGGAAGGCAGGACUGCCCUCCAGCAGCAGCCCACACUGUCAGUUUACAGUAACUGUGGAACAGAAGGGCAGGCUCAUUGCUGCUGCUGCCCAUUAACUUUUAAGCGCCCUGCUAACUAGCAGAGUUCAGGCUUAAGUUAAGCAUCUGGGAGUCCUACAUAACAAAGGGAGUUCAGAGAGCCUCAAAAAAUUGAUUCAUAAAAGCUGGCACAUUGAGUGUGAAGCCUUCCAACUCUUUUCAUUGCAAAUUAUAGGGAGAGGAUGGUUGUUUGAUCUGUUUUUAGCAAAGUAGUUCAGGCAGCUAUAUCUACCAGCAGAGCUAGAAACCUCAAACUAUUUUCUAGUAGUUAAAAGAAUACUGGUUCUUGAGUAUAAGGUGAUGGGAGGGACCGCUACCAUCUCCUCUUGCUUAUAUUUUGAAUGGCAUUCGCUGGAUUGGGCCCCAGAGGCCAGGGAGUCUCUGUUCUGUCUCUAUCCAUCCUAUCUGCCAGUCAACAUUCGCUUUCCAGUUGCAAUGGUCAUCCAAAUUCUCUCACUGCAGUGUAUGCAAUCACUAAAUCAGAUUCAAAAUAAGUAAAACUUUUUCUGGCAAAAGAUCAUCUAGUUAUUAGUUCCUCCCAUUUAAUCUUGUCUGAUCCAAUGGGGUCACAUUUUGGGGCCCUCAAUGCUAUCUGACUGACAGGGCCUCCCGUGGAGUCUGUAAAGUACAGUUGCAAUGCAUGGUAUUUGCUAAAACUUUCAGGAAUCUCCAUCUACAAGCAGCGCUCUUGUGGAUCUAAAUUUUGUCCAUGGGCACAUAAGUUGCAGUAAUGAAGGUAGUUGUAAAGCUAGCCCUUAUGACUUUUGUUAGAUGCUGUCUCCAACUACCUUACACCCAAGAACUCAGCAUUAGAGCACUAGUAUCUUUACUACUACAAAACAAAAUCUGAGAACAAGAUGUUAAUAAAGUUCUGACAAACCA